AAAACAGCAAUAAAAUACUAAGACAAACAUCAUCAUUCAACCUUCAGAACAAAGACAUGAGGCUUUAUAAGACAAGGCAACAACUAUCUUUGGGAAAGGUUCAACAACUUAAAUAUAAAUAAGUAAAACAAAGAUUCUCAAUUCAUAAUAUCAAAACUAGAAAGACGACCAAAGGAAAAUCCAUCGAUGCCAUCAUGUGUAUAUUAUAAGCAUCCAACAUGAACUGGUUGGUGCCACAUCAACGGUACUGCAAAGACGAGAAAACAAAUCCAGAAUGAACAAUGAUUCAAAAGAAUGAAAUAAACAAAAGUCAUGGAGAUUAUCACUAAAAAAUUUACCUUGAUGAAGCCAAUCUCCUUGGCAUUGCUGCGGAAGCACUGUCUGCAGCAGUUCAGACCAUACUUCCUAAUCAACCCGUGGGAGUUCCCGCAAACACGGCUAUGUACAGACAAGUAUAGCAUAACACAAAGUCAGAAUCUUGACCGCCAAAUAUAACACAUCGCUAAUCUCACAUAUAAGCUAAUCUCAAAGAAGCCAAAUACACAAUAAUAAGCUAAUCAUACAGAAGCCAAAUACACAAUAAUAAGCUAAUAAUUACAGAAGCCAAAUACACAAUCUCAUACAUAACCGAAUCUCACAAAAGCUAAAUACGUAAAUAUCAUUCAGCUAAUCUUACUGAAGCCAAAUGCACAAUUUCAUACCUAAGCUAAGCCCUAUACGCUAUAUCAUUUAUACAUAAGCUAAGCCAAAUACGCAAUAUCAUACAUAAGCUAAUCUUACAGAAGCCAAAUACACAAUCUCAUACAUAAGCUGAUCUCGCAGAAGCUAAAUACGCAAUUCCAUACAUAUGCUAAUAUCACAGAAGCAAAUACACAAUCUCAAAAGCUAAUUCAUACAUAAGCUAAUCACUCAGACGUCAAAUACACAAUAUCAAAGAUAAAUUAAUCUCACAGAAGCCAAAUACACAAUCUCAAAAGCAUACAGGUAACCUCACAUUGUGUAGAGAGAAGCCAAAUAUAAUACAUAAGCUAAUCACACAUGGAACAGCAAUACACAGGAAAUUGCAUAUUACAAAGUUAGAAUCUUGAUUCCCAAAUAUAAAAAUUUCAGAGUAAAGACCGAAGCUCGAUACAACAAUCUUAUACCUAUAGCUAAUCUCACAUGGAACAGCAAUACACAGGAACUUGGAACUGUAUAUUACAAUUUCAGAAAAUUGACUAGCAAAUGUAACAUAUAGCUAUUCUCAAAUGUAGCAUCAAUACAGUAAUAUCUCUGUCUCGAUCUACAUUUCUCCAAAAGAGUCUCUUUAUCCAGCCAAUUUAGUUUGUGUCUUUUUCUUUCUUUAGUAAACUAUUGCGGAACAUACACAUCAAAGUCUCAAAAAAAGGAAUCAAAGCAGAAAAAAAAAACAUUAAAUUUAUACAAUCCAACAUAUUUAUUGAUCAAAUACUUAUCACAUGAUCAGAUUCAUCACAAUAUAUAAAGAACUUGCGCAUGUUAAUCAAGAAUUUUUUUCGUCCAUUAUAUUCGUCUCGUACAUUCUUCUAUGAACCAAACAAAUAAAAAAGAAAAAACCGAAAGAGGGAAGAUUAUUGAGAUUACCAUGUGCGAGAUCCAGGGCCGUACUUCUUAGGGUGAGAAUUCCAAAUCGCUGAGAAACCCAUUUCCGUUGAUUGGAAGAAGAACGGCAACGAGAGGGAGACUCUUCAAAACCCUAAAAUAUUUGUCUCGUUGUAACGAGAAAAUAAAAUAUUUGUCACAGCAAGUUUUUUAACGGGCUAUAUUCCUUAGGCUCGUUAUUAGCCCAACAUUAGCCCCAUUUUAUUUCGUUGUGCUUCGAACCUUUAAAUCAAUAUCAAAUUUGUGUGCAGCUAGCCAGCUACUCUGAUAAUGUCUCUCGUAUUUGUAUUUUCAACUUUUCCUCUCGACAAGAUCUAAAAGUUUACAAUGGGUCUUAUAAGCUAAUUUCACAAAAUUAUAUGGAUAUUUUGAAUUUUAAGAACAGGAAAUUUUUUGAUCAAAACAAAAUAUCAAUGGAAAAAAACAAAAAUAAUUAAUAACAUUAUAUUCAAACGAAGACAUAAGCUUUAAAGACAAUUACAUCCAUCAUUUUAAAAGGUCCAACAACUUAAAAAGAUAAAGUUUCUUCAUUAAUAUACAAAAAAAAACUAAAGAGAGUUUCAAAGUUGUCGAUGCCGCCACCAUGUUUGUGUCUUAUAAGCAUCAAUCAAGAAUUGGUGCCUCGUUUAGCGGUACUGCAUAGAAACGAAAACAAAUCAGAAUGAACAAUCAUCAUGCCAAUGAAUGAAAAACAAUAAAAUGCAAAUCAGCAUAUAUAUCAUUGUAAUGUAUCUUGAUGAAUCCAAUCUCCUUGGCAUUGCUGCAGAAAUACUGUCUGCAGCAGUUCAGACCAUACUUCCUGAUCAGCCCCUGGGAAUUCCCGAACACACGCCUACACAAUGACCAGAAUCACAUGCAGAGUCAGAAUCUUGACUUCCAGAUAUAACAAACUUCACGUAGUGAAGAUAGAAGGUAAAUACAAUAAUCUUAUGCAUCAAGCUAAUCUCACAUUGUGAAAAGACAAGCCAAAUAUAAUACAUAAGCUAAUCACGCAUAGAACAGCAAUACACAGAAAAUUGCAUAUUACAAAGUCAGAAUCUUGAAUCUCAUAUAUAACAAUCUCAAAAAGUAAAGACAGAUGCUAGAUACAACAAUCUUAUACCUAAAGCAAAUAUCACAUUGUGUAAAGAGAAGCCGAAUAUUAUACAAAGCUAAUCUCACAUGGAACAGCAAUACACAGGAACUUGGAACUGUAUAUUACAAUUUCAGAAAAUAGAGUAGCAAAUGUAGUAGCAGUACAGUAAUAAAUCUUUCUGUCCCAAUUUUCAUUUCAGAAAAAGACUCUUUAUCUAGCCAAUUUAGUUUGUGUUUUUCUUUUCUUUAGUGAACUACUGUAGAACAUAUUCAUCAAAGUCUGAAAAUGCAAUCAAAUCAGAACAAAAAGCAAUUAAAUUUAUGCAAUCAAAAGCUUAUUACCAGACCAAAUACUAUUACAUGAUCAGAUUCAUCACAAGAUAUAAAGAACUUGCGUAUGCUAAUCGAGAAUGCUUUUCGUUCAUUCUAUUCAUCUCCUACAUUCUUCUAUGAACCAAAAAAAAAACAAUAAGCAAGAGAGAGAGAAGAAAAUGGGUGCAAGAUCCAGGGCCAUACUUCUUUGAUAGAGAAUUCCAAAUCGCGGAGAAACCCAUAUCGCCAGAAGAACAAACGGCGAAUAAAAACAACUCUUCAAAACCCUAGAAAUUGUAUCGAUGAAGAGAAGCUGAAUCUUAAAUAACUGUUCAGUUUUUUAAUAUGAAGAAACAAAACUAAUGGGUCAGACUUUAAAGGCCAAUUAGGCCCAAUAAUGAGCAGAAUCUUUUAGUUUAACUUGUUCAUCUCCAUAGGUUGUGUUUUGAGGCCUUUUUCUCUUUGAUCCAUGGCGACUCGACCUCUCAUCUCAAGAAUUGUCUCUUGUAUUUGUAUGUUUCUACUUUUCCGCUCGACACGGUCUAAAAGCUUACAUUGUGUCAUAUUUAAGAACGUCUUAUAAGCUAAUGUCACAAAAUCAUAUUGAUAUUUUGGUUUAAGAUCAGGAAAUUUCUUAAUUAAAACAAAAUAUCAAUGGUAAAAAAAAACGAGAAUAACUAAUAACAUCAUUGUUCAAACGAAGACAUAAGCUUUAAAGACAAUUACAUCCAUCAUUUUGAAAGAUCCAACAACUUAAAAAGAUAAAGUUUCUUCAUUAAUAUAUAAAAAUAAAAACUAAAGAGAGUUUCAAAGUUGUCGAUGCCGCCACCAUGUUUGUGUCCUAUAAGCAUCAAUCAAGAAUUGGUGCCUCGUUUAACGGUACUGCAUAGAGACGAAAAACAAAUCAGAAUGAAUAAUCAUCACGCUAAUGAAUGAAAAAAAAAUGCAAAUCAGCAUAUAUAUCAUUGUAAUGUACCUUGAUGAAUCCAAUCUCCUUGGCAUUGCUGCAGAAAUACUGUCUGCAGCAGUUCAGACCAUACUUCCUGAUCAGCCCCUCGGAAUUCCCGAACACACGCCUACACAAUGACCAGAAUCACAUAACACAGAGUCAGAAUCUUGACUUCCAGAUAUAACAAACUUCACCUAGUGAAGAUAGAAAGUAAAUACAAUAAUCUUAUGCAUCAAGCUAAUCUGACAUUGUGAAAAGAGAAGCCGAAUAUAAUACAUAAGCUAAUCACGCAUGGAACAGCAAUACACAGGAAAUUUCAUAUUACAAAGUCAGAAUCUUGAUUCUCAUAUAUAACAAUCUCAAAAAGUAAAGACAUAUGCUAGAUACAACAAUCUUAUACCUAAAGCAAAUCUCACAUUGUGUAAAGAGAAGCCGAAUAUUAUACAAAGUUAAUCUCACAUGGAACGGCAAUACACAGGAACUUGGAACUGUAUAUUACGAUUUCAGAAAAUAGAGUAGCAAAUGUAACAUAUAGCUAAUCUCAAAUGUAGCAGCAAUACAGUUAUAAAUCUUUCGGUCCCAAUUUUCAUUUCUGAAAAAGACUCUUUAUCCAGCCAAUUUAGUUUGUGUUUUUCUUUUCUUUAGUGAAAUAUUGUAGAACAUAUUCAUCAAAGUCUGAAAAUGCAAUCAAAUCAGAACAAAAAGCAAUUAAAUUUAUGCAAGCAAAAGCUUAUUACCAGACCAAAUACUUAUUACAUGAUCAGAUUCAUCACAAGAUAUAAAGAACUUGUGUAUGCUAAUCGAGAAUGCUUUUCGUUCAUUGUAUUCGUCUCCUACAUUCUUCUAUGAACCAAAAAAACAAUAAGCAAGAGAGAGAAGAAAAUUGAGAUUACCAGGUGCGAGAUCCAGUGCCAUACUUCUUCGACUGAGAAUUCCAAAUCGUUGAGAAACCCAUAUCGCCAGAAGAACAAAAAGUGAAUAAAAACAACUCUUCAAAACCCUAGAAAUUGUAUCGAUGAGGAGAAGCGGAAUCUUAAAUAACUGUUCAUUUUUUUUUUAUGAAGAAACAAAACUAAUGGGUCAGACUUUAAAGGCCAAUUAGGCCCAAUAAUGAGCAGAAUCUUUUAGUUUAACUUGUUCAUCUCCAUAGGUUGUGUUUUGAGGCCUUUUUCUCUUUGAUCCAUGGCGACUCGACCUCUCAUCUCAAGAAUUGUCUCUUGUAUUUGUAUGUUUCUACUUUUCUUCUCGACACGGUCUACAAGCUUACGUUGUGUCAUAUUUAAGAACGUCUUAUAAGCUAAUGUCACAAAAUCAUAUUGAUAUUUUGGUUUAAAAUCAGGAAAUUUCUUGAUCAAAACAAAAUAUCACUGGUAAAAAAAAAUGAGAAUAACUAAAACAUCAUUGUUCAAACGAAGACAUAAGAUUUAAAGACAAUUACAUCCAUCAUUUUGAAAGGUCCAACAACUUAAAAAGAUAAAGUUUCUUCAUUGAUAUAUAUAUAUAUAUAUAUAUAUAAAUAAAAACUAAAGAGAGUUUCAAAUUCGUUGAUGCAGCCACCAUGUUUGUGUCUUAUAUAUAAGCAUCAAUCAAGAACUGGUGCCUCGUUUAACGGUACCGCAUAGAGACGAAAACAAAUCAGAAUAAACAAUCAUCACGCUAAUGAAUGAAAAACAAUAAACAAGGAGAUGCAAAUCAGCAUAUAUCAUUGUUAUGUACCUUGAUGAAUCCAAUCUCCUUGGCAUUGCUGCAGAAACACUGUCUGCAGCAGUUCAGACCAUACUUCCUGAUCAGCCCCUGGGAAUUCCCGCACACACGCCUACACAAUAACCAGAAUCACAUUACACAGAGUCAGAAUCUUGACUUCCAGAUAUAACAAACUUCACGUAGUGAAGAUAGAAGGUAAGUACAAUAAUCUUAUGCAUCAAGCUAAUCUCACAUUGUAUAAAGAGAAGCCGAAUAUAAUACAUAAGCUAAUCUCGCAUAGAACAUCAAUACACAGAAAAUUGCAUAUUACAAAGUUAGAAUUUUGAUUCCCAAAUAUAAAAAUUUCAGAGUAAAGACCAAAGCUAGAUACAACAAUCUUAUACCUAUAGCUAAUCUCACAUUGUGUAAAGAGAAGUCGAAUAUUAUACAAAGCUAAUCUCACAUGGAACAUCAAUACACAGGAACUUGGAAUUGUAUAUUGCAAUUUCAGAAAAUUGACUAGCAAAUGUAACAUAUAGCUAUUCUCAAAUGUAGCAUCAAUACAGUAAUAAAUCUCUCUGUCUCGAUCUAUAUUUCUCCAAAAGAGUCUUUAUCCAGCCAAUUUAGUUUGUAUCUUUUUCUUUCUUUAGUAAACAACUACGCAACAUACACAUCAAAGUCUCAAAAAAAGGAAUCAAAGCAGAACAAAAAGACAUUAAAUUUAUGCAAUCAAAAUUAUGGGAAUCCCUUUGAAUGCUCAUUACUGAAUUUGGCUGGAAUUUCCCCUUUGCUAGAUCUGAUUUGCAGCUCUAGCUGCUUUCGUAUAUUGUCUCUACUCCGAGAUCCAUGGAUUCAGACCAACCGCCGUGGAUAGUUGGUGACAAAGAAUGUACUCAUUUCAAUUCAAAUGUUAUUUGUUCAGCAAUCAGAGAUACAACUCCGGAGGUUCCCUGGCACAAGCUAGUAUAGUAUAAAGCUGCAAUUCCAAAGCACUCGACAACUGCAUGGCUAUUCAUCCUGAACAGAAACCCAUUGGCGGAAAGGUUACUAUCUUGGGGACUGGAUGUGGAAUCAACUUGUCUUCUAUGUGGUUCGAUGCAAGAAUCAAGGGAUCAUCUAUUUUUCAAUUGCGAUUGUGCAGAUAUUAUUUGGAGUGGUACGCUCAACCAUCUUGAUCUCUCUCCUCCUUCCUCAAACUGGAACCAAUUCCUUCUUUGGCUCCCGAUGGUGAGUUCUUCUCGAGAUAUAUCACUUGCUCUACUACAAGGCUAGCAGGCCUGUAUGUAUGAGAUUUGGAAAGAAAGAAACCAGAGGUUUCAUUGAGGUACUACUACCCCUCCACAGGUUAUUUUGAAGAAAGUCUAAUCGGUAGUCAAAAACAAAGCUUUAGUUCUAAAGAAUUUGGGUGUCAGCUCGAUAUCCAGUCUUUUUACGUAUCUGGUCUGCUUAUAGGCAGGUACCUUGAUUACACCCAGGAUUGUUGCUGAAUUAUCUAUUCCUCCCCUUCCCUUUCUUGGAAUUCUUCUGCGGCUUUUGCUUUAGUUUUCCUUCCCCCUUCUGGCUCCCUUUAAAUUUAUCGGUAGUAAGGUUGUGGUUCUUGUUCGUUUUCUGUAAACUCUUUUAAAUUAAUGAAAACACUUUAACAAAAAAAAAUCUACUUAAUUCAACAUACUUUUUUUUUAGAGUGUGUUACCAUGUGAUGCUCUUUUGAGUUUAUAAUAUCCAAAACAGACACUUUUGAGUUUUUAUUACCAAAAAGACAUUUUUCUACUAUUUAGGCAUUGAAAAUGACUAAAAAACUUCUUUUAUUAACACACAAUUACUUAUCUAUAUUCUUUCUUUAUUUAAUAUUAUAUUAAUAUCAGACAUUCCCCAUAAUUGUUUGUUGUUAUUUAUCUAUUAUUUUAAAAAUAAUUGAAUAAUAAUUUUGAUACUAUAAAUUAUAUAUUUUUUUUUAAUACUUAGAUAUCCAUUUUAGAUUUUUUAACUUAAAUUCUUUUGUCGUUUAGUGAUAAACACAUACGUAUCCAUAUAGUAGCGUCCUUGUGGACACAAAUAUAUGGAUAUCUAUGCAAUUAUAUAUAUAUAUAUGUAUAUACAUAUGAAUCCAUAUAGUAGCGUACACGUGAACAUAUAUAUGGAUAUCUAUGCAAUUAUAUAUAUAUAUAUAUAUGCAUAUCCACGUACAUAGAGUAUAGAUAGAUGUAACUAUAUAGCUACAUAUGUAUAUUUACAUGUGUAUCCAUAUAGUUGUAUACAUAUAGACAUAUCUAUAUAGAUAUAUAUAUAUAUAUAUAUGUAUGCAUAUCCACAUACAUAUAUUAUAGAUGGAUGUAACUAUGUAAAUAUAUAUGCAUAUUUACAUGUGUAUCCAUAUAGUUGCAUACAUAUAGGUGGGUUCCGUGCGAUUUAGUUUGUGGAAGCUGAUGAAUUAAGGUGGAUCUCAUGCGAUUUAGUGUGUGAAAGCUGAUAAGUGAAUUUAAGUGGCUUCCGUACGUUUUAAUAUGUUUCUGUAAGUAAAUAGAAAAAAAAGAAGGCAAAAAUAAAAAAAUGAGAGCAAAGUAAAAUAAGUGCCUUAUUUCUAAAAAGUAUUUUUAAAAAAAAAACAUUACACUUUAAAAAAUUAUCUCAAAUGAUAAUAUUCUCUUUUUUAUAAUGUCAAUUCAACAUACUCAAUUAUAGUAUGAGUGUGUUACCACUAGGUGUACUUUUGAGUUAUCUAAUGUCCAAAAAAGAGAUGUUUGUGUUUUAAUUACCAAAAGACAUACUUUUCUACUAUUUGGAGAAGACAAAUGACUGUUUUAACCUUUUUGCUUACUUAUCUAUAUUAUUUCUUUAUUUAAUAUUAUAUUAAUAUCACAUACUCCCAUAAUUGUUUGUUGUUAUUUAUCUAUUAUUUAAAAAAUAAUCGAAUAAUUAUUUUAACACUAUAAAUUAUAUAAUUUUUUUUCUUAACACUUUGAUACCCAUUUUAUAUUUUUUAACUUAAAUUUUUUGUCGUUUAGUGAUAAACACAUAGGUAUCCAUAUAGUAGCGUCCACGUGGACACAAAUAUAUGGAUAUCUAUGCAAUUAUCCUCUAUACAUUAAACAGGAAUAAUUUGGAAGCCAUUUUGCUGAGGUGUCGCUCCCACAUUUUUUCUCAGCAUUUUUCUUUUAAAUAAUUCAUUAUAUUCCACCUAUGAUUAUAUCCUUAUUUUUAUCCCUCCGCUAAUUAUAAUUUAAUUUAUUAUUUACUAAUUUUUAUUCGUUUUCCUUAUUUAGCUCAACUGACUUCUUUUAAAUUUUUGAUUUAUACAUGCAUAAUUUUCAUCUCAUCUACCUUAUUUCUUGCUCAAAACAACUAUAUACUAAUUUAAAUUGUCAAAUAAAUCGAUUGAUUAACAAGAUUUAAAUUUAAAUUAUUACUAUCUUUAUUUUCUUAUUUUUAUGCAAAAUUUAUAUUCACAUUCCUAUCAUAAAUCAACAUUCUGAGAAGUACAAAUUUUAUUAUUCUACAUAAUUACUAUUAUACGAAUGAGGUAUGUAUUUAUACAAAUGAUGAUGAUAUACAUGAGCCCAUAUUUGCGCUUCAUAAAUUUCAAAUCUUAUUUACAAUAUUGUUUAUAUUAAUGUGUCAGUAUACGUAAUCCCAUAAUCUCGGUUAUACGUGAUCCCAUAAUCUCGGUUCAUUUAAUUCAAAAAAAUAAUUACUGUAAUAAUGAAGAAAUCAUAACUCCACCUUAAACUUUCCUCCGAAUUUCUCGACACAAUUAUAUGGUUAAGCAUAAAUGGAAUCAAUGUAUGCAUAUUCCAAAUUUAUCAGUUCAUAAUAAUAUUACCUUCCUAUAUUAUCGUAACCCUAUCAAUCUGAAAUUAUAUAACCAACUUACAAAUCAUUGUUUGGAUAGUCUAAACAAUCCCUAUAUUUUCGAUAUAUUUUAGAUGCACUGUACCUACCUAAAUCAAAAUAUUCCGUAUUUCCGUAUAUGAAGGAGUAAUUAAACAAAAUAGAUCCUUUAUGGAAAACGAACAAUAUUGCAAUUUAAAUAUAUCAAAAUUGCCUAAAUCUAUCAAAUUUCAACGUCAUUUCAAAUUCAAAUUCAUACUUGACCGCCUACAAUAUUUUCCCUCUUCUAAAGAUUGCAUCAAAGAUUUACCCUAGACUCACCACAUUCUUCAUUUCGCUAUAUAUAGUUACCACUGUUGAUAUCAAAUUCAUCACACCAGCUAAGCAAUAUUUAGCUUAUAUACUCCCACUUGCAAAGUUUGCGAUGUCGACCUUCACAUCCCUCACUGCCCUAAAGCCAUUCAAAACUCAAUGGAGGAUCCGUGUCAAGAUACUGAAGUUGUGAAAACAGUAUUUGAAUGGGAUCGAGACGAUGGAGAUGGUCGUUGUCGAUGAACUGGUAUUGUUUUGUACUUUGUUUGUUCGUUAUUCAUACUGUUCCAUUUUGAUUAUAUAUAUAUAUAUAUAUAUAUAUAUAUAUUUUUAACGUUUUGCUUAUUAUUAUAUUGCCAUGCAGAAUCAAACUAUGCAUGUUAGUAUGAAGAAGCAGUUCAUAAAAAAAUUUGAAAAUCUUCUAGAGGAAGGAACUACUAAGAUCAUCACUAAUUUUCAAGUCACUCACAAUGGUGGUAAGUUCAGGACUACUUCUCAUGUUUACAAGAUCCAGUUUGCUGCCACGACGUCUAUCAGACCUUCUGAAGAUCUGGAUGCCACAAUUCUUGGGUUGAAGUUAGUGAACUUCGCCGAUAUUCACGAGGGCAAGUUGAAUCCUGAUUUUCUAAUAGGUAAAUGGUAUAUUUAUAUCUCGCAUACAUUACUAAUAUGAACCAAAGCAUAUUACAUCUAAUUAUUGGUUUAUGUUUUUAUUUUACAGAUAUUGUUGGACAAAUUGUUAGUAUUGGUGAGGUUGAGAUUCUCAAUGUUAACAAAAAACAGACCAAACGUCUAACAAUGACACUUCGUGACACCAGGUUAUUUAAUUCCCUUUGAGACCUAUAUAUUGUUAAUAAGACGUCUAAUAUAUUUUUUGUCUUUUAGUGAUGUGCGCCUGAAUUGUGUUCUCUGGGGGAAUUAUGCCGAAAGUUUGGAGAGUGUUUCUACACAUGCAACUAAUGCUACCAUUUGUUUCGUGUUAAGAUUUGGAAAGUUAAGAUUGUAUCAAGGUACGAAACAAAUGUUUUUUGUUAACAAACAAAAUAUUGUUUUUUUAAAAUAUAUAUAACUUUCAAGACAUUUCAUUAUUUAGGUGUAUGGAGUAUUGACAAUUGUUACAGUUCUUCCAUUGUGAUGACAGAUCCUGAUCUCCCUGAAAUAAAUUCUUUUAGAAACCGGUAUAUUCAUAUCUAUAACUUUUAUCAAUUUUCCAUUUAGUUAACUUUCAUGUCACUAAAAUCCAAUAUUUUUUUUUCUUUACAGCUUACCAAAAGAUGAUGUGACUUUGUCAUACACACACCCUAACCAAUUGACCAUUGUCAAUUCUGUUUCUGUAAGAGAUGAUUUCUUCUUACAUACCCCUCGCCGGACAAUAAGUGAAAUACUUGGUGCAUCUGAGGUAUUCAUUUUGCGUGGUAUACAUAUUUCUUAAACAAUAAAUGGCGAUUGGGUUUUUAAAAGAAAGUAAUGCUUCAAUUAUUAGGUUGAAAAAUGUGUGACUAUGGCUACCAUCAUGUCUAUUGAUACUGAGUUUGGAUGGUACUAUAUGUCAUGCAAAGUGUGCUCUAAAAAGGUGCUUCCUCUUGAUAUGGAUUUGUUGAAAGAGCAAUAUCCUGGUAGGCCAUUUCCUAAACAGUAUGGAAAUGUGGCAAAUGUAAGGAUGAUGUUGAAAGUGUCGUACCAGCGUAAGUCUUGGAUGCAAUUUGUAGAGAAAAAAAAAUAUUUGUAAUUUCCAUAUAUAUUCAUAUUCAUAUAUUUUUCUAUGCUAACAUAGGUUUAUGCUGACUUUCCGUGUUAUGGACAACACUGGCGAAACCAAGUUCUUAAUCUUUGAUAAGCUUGCCAUGGAAGUUGUAAAUCAAACAACUGCACAAUUGACUAAAUCUGUGGAAGAGGUAGUUAUGCAGAUUACUAUCAACUCUAUUAUAGUGAAUCUUACUAUAUAUAUUAAAAAACUUAUAUGUUUGCUAAACUGCUUGCAGAUCCAAGAUCCAGAUGUACUCCCUCUUCCAAUUAGUAACAUUUGUGGGAAAACUUAUCUGUUCAAGCUAUCAAUUGAGAGUUCAAACAUCGUUUUCAACAGUGAUGUUUACAAAGUUACAAAGAUUGUGACCCAAAGUGACAUGGUCAAAGAAUUCUCAGAAAUAUCCGGAUUUUUGGUGUGAUCCCUAAACUAUUUAUUCCUAUUAAUAUUUAUUCAUAUUUCAUUGCCUUUUGAUCAUUGUUAACUUAUUGUUUUAUUUAUAGACUACCCCUGAUGUCAAGUCUGAGGAAAUGAGGUUUAUAACUCCCGAUGAACAGGUUUGCUAUUUAGGAAUUAGAUGCCUCUUAUUAAUAUUAUAUGACUGUACAUAAACGUAUUUGUUUAAAUUUGUCAUUUUAGGUUCCUAACAUGUUACUUGACAGCGGCGACGAUGAUAAUUCACCACAGUCAAAAAGGAAAAGCGAUGAGAUGAUUGACUUUGAUGAUCAUAAUGGAGAGCAGUCUACUUCUAAGAAAGCUGCUAAUGGGGACAUGAAGGCUUUGGCGAGUGAACAAAAGAUUUCUCUGAAGCCUGUUAAGAAAGAGAAAGUUGAUGACUGAAGUCUUUGUUUCUUUAAGGCUAUGCAUUCUCCUGCUUGCGUUGUUUCUUAGGAUUUACUACAAUAUCUCAUUGUUUAAGUUUCGGUUAUUUUUUUCUUAGCCCGUUGGAUUUGUCUUUUUCCGUUUACAGAUUUUCUGUGGUUUGUUAUUUUAAGUUUAAUAAAAGCAGGAAUUUUAAACAAUAUUAUGUUGCGUUUAACUAUAUUAGCUGAUCAUAUCAUCGAAGCUAUUGUUUUGACUGGUGACACUCAUGGUCAGAAAGUUUAUAUUCCAAGGUUGAAUGUCGCACUUCCUGAAGGAAAAAUUCCUUUCAGAAUGCGAAGAAGACAAUUUCCUUUGGCUGUUGCCUUUGCUAUGACCAUAAAUAAAAGUCAGGGUCAGUCACUUUCAAGCGUCGGUCUAUAUCUGCCAAAACCCGUUUUCUCUCAUGGGCAGUUAUAUGUUGCUCUAUCUAGAGUAAAAUCAAAGGAUGGGUUAAAGGUUCUUAUUAUUACAAAGAUGGUAAACCUCAGAAGCAGACAAUGAACGUUGUAUUCAAAGAAGUGUUCCAGAAGAUAUAGUUGCUACAUUACAGGUAAGUUAUAACUUAUAAUAAUUGUUAUGUUUGAUAACAGUAUGAUUUUUUAUUAACGUGUAUGAUGGAUUUGUAAUGUAUUCAGGAAGUUGGAAGGAAAGCUAUUGAUAUCGUGAUCGAGCAAAUGAUUCAUGAUAUGUUUGGUUUAUAGCAAUAUGUUGGUCUACUAUUUGAUAUUUAUGUAUUAUUACCCACCAGUAUAGAUAUAUUAGUUUUUUUUUAAUAUGCAAAAUUGAUUUAUGACAAUCUCAAGAGCUUAUAUUAUAAUUUGAUAAAGUUUGACAUAUUAUUUUGUUUUAUAUACAUUUCUAUACAAUUAAACACUAAUUGGAAUCAUUCAUAUUUGUAGAUUACAAAUAAUUUCUUAUAUGUAUUGAUGUCUUGCUUAACCAAUACCCCCCUCACUUAAUUAUAGUCUGAUUUUCACCUCCAAGCAAGUAGAAAUUAUUCAAGUUAUACCAAUUCAUUAGAGUUGACAUUCAAUCAAAUAAAUUUAUUGAUCUUAUUAAUUUAUUAGUGUGUAGCGUUGAUUUAAUGAUAUAAUGAUAUGCAUGGAUCUUUUAGAUUACACAAUAUAUUUCACGUAGAUAUCGAACAACUAUAUUCCGAAUAUCUUGGCAGUAUUCUUUUCCAUAAUAUUCCAUAUAGUUAAAGGAAAACCCUAUCACAAAGGUGUCACUUUAUAUAAAGAGUAUACCGUGCUAUAUUUUUAUCGUUUUGCCUUACUUUGAUUCUUAUAUGUUUUAUAGUCAUGAGUUGUAUUUUCCAUUAUAUAUCUGAUUUAGAUCCGUUUACUACUGAUUGGAAAAUUAGAGUUAAAAUUAUUCACAAGUGGAAACAAUAUACUCCACAACGGGGAACUGCUCUCAAUAUGAAACUAAAAGACGAAGAGGUAAUCGUAAUGAUAUCCUUGCUUUCGUUUUCAGUAUUUUUAUUAUUUACUACAUUAAGAAACACAUUUAGUGUUUUUUUCCAGGGACAUACAGUUUAUGCUACAGUUUAUAGAAAAUACCUUCAAUUCUUCGAGAAUAGUAAGAAAAUUUGUGGGUUACAAUAGAAGAUUUCACUCUUAUUCCUAUCAUGAUGAAGACAUUACCACAACUUCGAACUUUAUUAUUCAGUUCAUAAUUUCUACUGUUGUUUCUCCUAUCAGAUAUGUGGAAGGUAUUUCAAACCCCUUUAUUGUAAUCAGAUUGUAAUACUAUUGGUUAUUUCAUUUUAGAUUACUUAACUAUCAGUAAUAUUUAAUACAGUUUGUAAAACGAGUCUACAAGGAAUUGGAUGUAUCAGCCAUUAAAGAUUUAUUAGGUAUUGUACGUACUAAUUUGCAUAAAUUGUUUAGGGUUUAUUAUAUUAACAUUUUCCCUUUACUCACUACAUUUUAUCAUUUUACAGGAUUUAUAAUCAAUGCAACUGAGAAUAAUCGAGUACAACCACAUCUCAACAUUCAACAUUCAGUUUCGUCAUAAUAAGAAAAUAAUUUAUUAAAUUAUUAUUUAUAAUCAGUUGUAGUCCAUUUUCUCGAAAUAAACAAUGUUAUCAGAUUGUUUGAUUACUGAAAUGUUUUAUCAAGCAGUUAGAUUUUUAAUCUGUCAGUUUAUUUAUUCCUUUGUUGUAAUUAUAAUUUAAAUAUUUAGAGUAUUUAUUAUACUUUAUAAUAUGGACUUACCAUAUUUCAUCAUGCAUAAUUUUGUAAUUAUUGUAUGUAAUUGUUUUUGAAAUUUUUGAGUCUUCCCAUAUGACGAACUUUACUACUUUCCAUAUUAUAUUUCAAUAAUCAUAUCCAGUAUUUCUAUGACAUAUGAAACUUUCCUACAUUAAUAUCUCGAAUUUAGUCGGAUAAUUUACUGAGACAUUAAAAUAUUUAGUACCUUAGUUCUUGCGUUAUAUAUAUUCCAGAUUUUUUAUAUAACACAUUGUUGCGUAUACAGAUUACCAUCGAAUAUUCUCUACGACUUUAGUAGUUGAUUUGAAAACACAAUGACAUAAAUCUGUUUUCCUUUUAUGUCUUCAAUACAUAUUCACUAGCUGUGUAAGUAACUUUAUCGAUAUGAUAAAUAUAUAUUUGAUUAUAUAUGUGCAUAAUUUAAUGUAAAUAAAUUUCAUACAAUAAUGGAAAUUAAAUAAAAUAUCUAAACGCAUUAAUAUUUCCGAAACCACCUAUUUCUUACCCUUUUCUUAUUCAAACCUUCAGUUACUAUGUUUCUGAAAAUCAAAAGCUCUCUAGAAUACCCUUCAAUGGAAACUUAUGACCUCAUUACAGAUCUGCAUUCUGACCAGACAAACUGGACUAUAAGAUGCAAAGUUUUGAAGAAAUGGCAUGUAAAACAUCCAAGGGAACGUCCAUCGUUACAAUUUAUGUUGAUGGACGAAGAGGUACUUAUUUUAUUGUUAUCUUAUAUUGUUCUAUUUUUGUUAUAUUACAUUGAGUUAUUGGUUUGUAUUUUCUAAAUUAUCUUAUAUAUUCAGGGUGAAACUAUUCAAGCUUAUCUAUAUAUUUCUGAUUUAAUCAAAUCUUUCGACAAGACAAUUGAAGAAGGAGAAUGGAUAAGUAUUUCAGAAUUUGUGGUCUUUGAUGAAACAUCAGAUGAACCAAAUUCUCCUAUUGGUAGUUGUAUCAGGUUUUUAAAUACACUGAAGUGGAUCACAUAGAUCCUAUCGAAUUUGAUACUGCACAGGGUUUUGUUUCUUUUUCUGAUGUGCUUGGUGGCAAAACAGAGCCUGGUCUUCCUAUCAGUAUAGUUAUGCCUAUUAUUAUAAAUCUUAUAUUUCAUUACUAUUUAUCUUAAUUGAGAAACUGACUACAUAGCAUAUAAAUUGUAAUUUGAUUUUCUUCUUCAGAUAUUCUCGGGUUUGUUAUCAAUAUUGAUCCACUAGAUACGGUGAAUGAUGAUUCAUACCCUGAAAGACAGGAUAAGAAGACUGCCAGUAUAUCUUUCACUAUCAAGGAUCAUAAGUAAGUUUCCAAUGUUUUUUUGGUUGAUGUAUUUGUUAAUGAGUCAAUAAACAUUUUUUUUGUUAAAUAAUAUGUUGUUGUAAUCGAUAUGUAGAGGGCUAUUGUUAUCGUGUGUUGCAUUAGGACCACAUGCAAUUGAUUUCAAUGACAAGAUCUUCAGUGAAAGUCAGUUACCAUUUGUUGUUAUGUUAACCGACUGGUCUGUUAAACAAAGAGAAGGUUAGUUGAAAUUACAUUAUUAAUAUUGCUUUAUUAUUGAUAUCUUUAUUGUGAUAUCUAUGAAAUAACAUUUAUAUUAUUUUCAUAGCUGGAUACUAUAUUCGGUCUAGAGGAGGAAUUUCUAGAAUCGAGUUUCAUCCUGAUUGUCCACGAGUCAAAACUUUUGUUAGAAGGUAAACUAUUAUAUGCACCUUAUUUUACAUAUAAUCAAAUAUUUGGUUUGCUAUGUUUGCUUACAAUAAUUGAUUUAUUUGCAGGUUUUGGAAUACCCAGAAUAAACCUACAAAUGUCAUUGAUUUGGGUUGUAAUAAUGAUGAGGCAAGUCCAUCUUCCGUGAAGCCUAGAAACUGAUCGGUCCAUGUAUUUGAGAUUUCAAUAUGUUGAAUUAUUUACUUUUUUAUUAAUGUCUUUCUUUCUUUCUUUGUAUCUGACAUGAAUUUACUUAUGGGAUGUUUGAACUUUGCUUUUUAGUGAAUUUACUAUUGAUUUUAUGAUGUAACAAAAAUGCUUUUCAUUAUGAUUUUGUUGUCAAUAUUUAUAUGAACUCAGUAAUCUGAAAUUUACUUUUUUAAUACAUUAUUUAUAAAUAUGAACUCAAUAAUCUGAAAUUUAUAUUUUAAAUGUUUUAUAAAACUAUAUAUAGACAUUUAUGUUCUUUGGCAAAAUCGUAANNNNNNNNNNNNNNNNNNNNNNNNNNNNNNNNNNNNNNNNNNNNNNNNNNNNNNNNNNNNNNNNNNNNNNNNNNNNNNNNNNNNNNNNNNNNNNNNNNNNNNNNNNNNNNNNNNNNNNNNNNNNNNNNNNNNNNNNNNNNNNNNNNNNNNNNNNNNNNNNNNNNNNNNNNNNNNNNNNNNNNNNNNNNNNNNNNNNNNNNNNNNNNNNNNNNNNNNNNNNNNNNNNNNNNNNNNNNNNNNNNNNNNNNNNNNNNNNNNNNNNNNNNNNNNNNNNNNNNNNNNNNNNNNNNNNNNNNNNNNNNNNNNNNNNNNNNNNNNNNNNNNNNNNNNNNNNNNNNNNNNNNNNNNNNNNNNNNNNNNNNNNNNNNNNNNNNNNNNNNNNNNNNNNNNNNNNNNNNNNNNNNNNNNNNNNNNNNNNNNNNNNNNNNNNNNNNNNNNNNNNNNNNNNNNNNNNNNNNNNNNNNNNNNNNNNNNNNNNNNNNNNNNNNNNNNNNNNNNNNNNNNNNNNNNNNNNNNNNNNNNNNNNNNNNNNNNNNNNNNNNNNNNNNNNNNNNNNNNNNNNNNNNNNNNNNNNNNNNNNNNNNNNNNNNNNNNNNNNNNNNNNNNNNNNNNNNNNNNNNNNNNNNNNNNNNNNNNNNNNNNNNNNNNNNNNNNNNNNNNNNNNNNNNNNNNNNNNNNNNNNNNNNNNNNNNNNNNNNNNNNNNNNNNNNNNNNNNNNNNNNNNNNNNNNNNNNNNNNNNNNNNNNNNNNNNNNNNNNNNNNNNNNNNNNNNNNNNNNNNNNNNNNNNNNNNNNNNNNNNNNNNNNNNNNNNNNNNNNNNNNNNNNNNNNNNNNNNNNNNNNNNNNNNNNNNNNNNNNNNNNNNNNNNNNNNNNNNNNNNNNNNNNNNNNNNNNNNNNNNNNNNNNNNNNNNAUUGUUGCUUAUUUAACUAAAUAUUAAAUUUUGCUAGGGAUCUCGAGUUGCUGCAAUGGUUAACGACUUCAAACUCUCUUUCUACAAGAGGGUUUUCCAAGAAGGUUCUUGGCUUCGACUUUCACAGUUUCGCUUGGUUAACUCCGGUUGGAAUGAAAGAACCACAAAUCAUGCUUACAAGAUCAUUCUCAAUCAGAGUUCAAAGGUGAAUUAUAUCAGACCUUUGAGCCAGGAUAUUUUCAUCAAAAUCGUUGAUUUUCCAAGUGUUUACAGCCGUCCUUCUCACUACUACCCGAUCGGUAUGUUUCCUUUUAAUAAUAUUCUGUUUUUGUAUAAAAUACAUACGUCUCUUUUUGUUUAUCAUAUAUUCACAACAAAAUAAAAUAAAGUUAUGUUAUAUAGACAUGCAUUGAUUAUUGGGUUUUUAUUCAGAUUUGAUGGGUAUUUUUGAUAAGGAGAUUGGCAAUGUUGAAUUCGAUUUCAAUGAUGAGAACAGUGUUCCAACCCUACAUUUUCGUAUCAGCGAUAUAGAGUAAUGCCUUCUACUAUUUUUUAUUUGAUUUUAUGAUUAUAGAAAUUUCUAUUUAGUAUGAAUUUUUCUUUAUCUCUAGGGAUAAUACAAUGAACUGUGUCGCACAUGGUGAUUUGGCUUAUGAUAUCAAGGAUAAAUCAAACUGCAAAUUACUUAAAGGACCAUAUCCCAUAUGUGUAUUGACUGAUUGGGUUGUUAAGAAGAAUGAGAGUAAGUAGCCAUUAUGUAUUUAUUUUUGCUUUGAUAAUUUAUUUUUUAAUCAAAUUGUUUUCUUCCUUAUAAUUUCCUUUUUUAUAUAGAUGAAAUUACGAUCACUGAUUUUGAAGAAGGAAAGCUCUCACGUUUCUUGGUUCAUCCAGAUAUUGAUGAAGUAAACGAUCUCCGUGCCAAGUAAUAUUUUUCAUUACCUUAAUAAUCACAUUUUCAAUUUUAAAUUUAUUUUAGUUAUCCUUACUUAUUUUUAUUUUAUGUAUUUGUUCAGGAUUUGGCAAAAGCUAAGGGGUUCGGCCCAUAGUCCUUCAUCUUCUGGAACAAGAGAUGUGUAAUUUGAUUUCAUCAAAUCCUGAACUUCUCUUUCUUAACUAUCUUUAAUUUCAUGUCAGUAAUCAAAAGGAGUGAUGUCCUCCUUCUUUGUCGAAUGUUAAGACUUAUGUUUAAUUUCUCGAAUUGCUUUGAAGUUACACUCUGAACAAUUACCCUUUUUAUUUUAACUAUCUUAAAUAUAUUUUAUGUUAUCAUAAUUAUUAUAAUUUGCAAAAGAUUACAAUUUAUGCGAACUAAAUGAUCUUAUAAAUUGAAUACAAUCGUUCAUUUAUAAAUUUUCUUUAUUAACAACUUUGUAAUUUAAUUUAAUUUUAGUAAUAACGAUGUAACCACAAAAAAUAAUUAAUAAGUUAGUUAAUAAUGGAUUUAUAUUAAAUUAUUUUGCUAAAUAAUUAAUAGAGAUAUUUGUUCCUAUUUGUUCGUACUUUCUAUAUCCCCAAUUCUUUGUCUCCUUAUAUUUCAGGAUUUGGAAAAUAUAAUGACUAGAUUUCCGGAAGAAUUUAGAUAUGAUAGUAAUAUUAUUAGAAACUUUAUGUUUAGGGUUCAGCGCAUUCCUUAAAUUAAUCAUUGUUAAUAUUUGAUUGCAUAUUCUAUAAUCAUCUUUCCUUAGUUACGCGAGAUAACACAUAUAUGCAAGGAGAACGAAACAAAUCAUUUUUUAAAAAAAUUACGAAUACGACUUCCAUAUAUUUGUCAUAUUACUUAUUUAAAGUUGCACAAAAUAUACGUUAAUAUUUAAUUCUAUAAUCUGUUAAAUGUAUCGUAACAACUUCAACCAAACUAUGGAAAUAUUCUUAAACAAUAUAGAUAAUCGUUAUUUAUGCCAUCUAAGAUAUAACUAACAAGAUUCAUAUUCCAAAAAUCACUGACUGUUGCAAAUUUUUUUACAAUUCUUCGUAUAUACGCAAAUAAUUUUGGGACGUCAUAACCUUAAUUUACUAACAUACUCCUAUAUAAACCUUUGCUGCAAACCAUUUUUUCAUCUUUAAUCGGAAACUCAAACAAAAUGCGUGAAUACCAAAUGGUGCAUGAGUUACAAUCUUGGGAGGAUGGUUGGACAAUUAAGGUGAAGAUUUUAAAGAGAUGGGGGGCCUUUGAUGCCGACGGUCUUCAUGUGAUGAAUUUCAUAUUGGUUGAUGAGAAUGUAAGUUUGAUACUCAUCUCUAUCAAUGUUUUAUAUUAUUAGUACUUCAUAUCGUUUUGCUACUAAUAUUUUAUAUCAAUUACCCUAACAGGGUUGCAGAAUUUCUGCCUACGUUGGUAACCUCAAUCUAUCCUAUUUCGAAUACGUUUUGCAAGAAGGAAAUUGGGUGCAGUUAUCCAAAUUCAAACUAAUUCCUUCUAAGUGGGAAGAACGGACUACAAGACACGUUAAGCAAAUAAUUUUAGAUGGUGAAACUAAGGUCAGUUCCAUCCGACCUUUGACUAGAGAUCCUUUCCUUCGUUUUGUUGAUUUCAGCCGUGUUUACAAUAAGCCUUACAGCCACUUAUACCCAGUUGGUAAGUAUUAACAUUUAUCUUUAUUACUUAUGUAUUUAAUUAUGUUAGUGUUAUCGAUUAUAGUAUUGUAUGAUUGAUUGUGUAAUAUUGAUCAGUUGUUGUACUACAAUAUUUUGUAAUCCAGAUUUCAUUGGUGUUCUGGAUCAUGUCAAAAAUAUGGUAACAAUUGUUUAUCCCGAUGACAAAAGUGUUCCAACACUGAGAUUCCGAAUUAAAGAUCUGGAGUAAGUAAUAUAAUGGUUUCAUGUUUUUAUAUCAUUAUUUGAGAUACAAUAUAAUCAUAAUAAUUAUAAUGUGUAGGAAUUGUACUCUUAACUGUGUUGCACAUGAUGACUUGGCUUACGAGAUAGAAGGGAAAUGCAAAGGUCCUGUAGGGAAGAGUCCAUUUGCUAUUUGUGUCUUAACUGAUUGGUUGGUUAAGAAAAACAUUGGUGUGUUUAUAUGAUUUUCAUAUUUAUAAGACAACCUUAUAGACAUUCAAAACUUGAUGACCUUAUCUUAUUUAUAUAUUAGAUGAAAUGACAAUUGAAAAUUACAAGGAGGGAUCGCUUUCACGUUUUGCUAUUGCCCCGCCAUUGGAUGAAGUCAAAAGCUUUGGGAUCAAGUAAUAAACGUUAUUAACAUUCAAUAGUUUUUGAUUAUGAUUUUUUUUACUGACUAAUUACAUGAAAAAUAUUAUUCUCAGGCUUGCAAAGAAGAUAACGGAAGUAUACGUGAGUGCUUCAAGUUCUCAAGGAAUAAAGGAUUAGAACUUAUGUUAUGCUAUCUUAUAUUUUAUAUUCUAUUUUAUAUUUUGUUAUGAGUGGUGUUCUCCUAAGUUUGUUUUAAUAAACACUUUGUUUCUCUUCCUACCAUAUUUAAUUUGAUUUCAAUAAAGUGUAUUAUUUGGAUAUUAAUUUUUUGCAAUAUUUGAUAGUCAUAUAUUUUGCCUUUUUAUUCGCUAAUGAGUAGUAGAAUUUUUAAAUAGACAUGUAUUACCAAUCCUUAACAUGCAACCAAGGUAAACAAGUUUUUUCUGUUAUAUUACACAGUUUAUAUAUAUCGUUGUACUUCUAUAUAAAUAGUACUAUCAUAUUAUCAAUAAAUAAAAAAUCACUUAGAUAUAAUCAAAAAUAAUAUAUGAAUUUAUUAAUGGAUAUUUAGUUUCUAAAUUUGAAACUAUAAAUAUAGUUUCAUGAUCUUAGAAAAUAUCCAUACGAGAUAUUCGGUUUCCAUUAGACAUAUUAAUCUAACUGUAUUACUAUAAACCUAAAGCCUCCUAUAUAUAUUGGAUUUUGCAGUUGUCUAAAACCUAGAUACCACAUCGUACUCUUUCACUAUGAAACUCUAUCACCGAGUUUCUGAUUUGCAUUCAUGGAGAUCAGACUGGAAAAUCAAAAUAUUGGUUUUAAAAAAAUGGGAAACUCUUGGUCCACAAGGAAUUGAAGGUUUGGAAUUUAUUCUGGUGGAUGAAGAAGUAAGUUAUUAUUAUUUACUUCAUAGUAGUAUUAUUUUUCAUAAACAUCUUAAUAUAUUGAUACUGAACUUUUCAGGGAUGCAAGAUUCAAGCUUCGAUGACUAAUCCUGUGUUGGUUUCGUAUUAUGAUCAAGCUUUGCAAGAAGGACUGUGGAAUACUCUACAUGAUUUUGUUGUAAAUGAUUCAUUUUGGUUUCAGAAAACAACUCAUCAUAAAUGGAGGAUUUUUCUACUUCAGAAUACUACUGUCAAAAGGCUAUAUGAAAUCCCUACCGAUACUCAAUUUAUGUCUUUCUCAGAGUUUGAGGAUAUUUUGGAUGGGACUAUUGAUCAUAAGUAUCCUAUUGGUAUUUCAUAUUUUUCUUAUAUAAUUCUCAUUGAUUUUCAAUUUAAAAUCUUUUAAACAUCUUUUGAUACUUUAUGUGAUAUUAGAUUUACUUGGUGCUGUUGUCCAUGUUGGACGACUUACAAGGAUUAAGGAUUACGGACUAGAUUGUGAUUUUCGUAGAUACUAUAGUCGACUACGAUUUACGUUGAGAAAUCUCAAGUAAGUAUUUGAAUCGUUACCCAUUUAAUUGUAUGUUAUCAAGAUAAUAAUAUAUUUUGUUAAUAUAUUGUAAGAAUGUUGAAAUUAGUUGUUAGAUCAAAUAUUAGCUAUACGUAAAAUAUAUGUUUUAGGGAUAUUGACUGUUUCGGAUGCAAGAGGGAUGUCAAGGUUUCUUUUUGAUCCCCAUAUUGUUGAAGUUGACAAGUUCAAAGAUAAGUAAGUACUAUUUGAUAUUUUUCUAAAUGCCAGUAAUAACAUAUCUGUAUAUAACUAUUUAGGUACUUCAACUCCAAUAAGACGGAGAACAAUGACAUUGAGAUUAAAGACUAAUUUCAUAUAUCAUAUUCACCUAUUAAUUAUGGUUGGAGGUUCAAUUAUUCAUGUCGUUUAGCUACAAAGGUGACCAAGUGAAGUAGUCAACGUUUUAAUUCUAUGAACUUAUGUCAAAUUCAGGAUUUAUUAAUAAGAUAGAUUGCUUUCAUUAUUCUCUAUAGAUGUUUGCUCAUUACGAUAUAUAUAUAUAUAUAUAUAUAUAUAUAUAUAUUCGUCUAAUACUAUAUAUAUUAUGUAGACAACAUAGAAAGUUCAAAUAAUAUCAUCCUCAAUUAUAAAUAACCAAAACCAUACCAAGUUAAUAUACAUUCAAGUAAUGCGACAGAUAUAUAAAAUUGUUCUUAUAACCUAACUAUUAACCAAAAGCAUACCAAAUUAAUAUACAUUCACUGACUGUUCUUAUACCAAAAUAUAAUAUUAAUAUUAAUAGUCGAAUAUAUUAAUUCUGUCUUUCUUUUCAUCAUACACUUCAAUUUAUUUGGUCAUUUUUCUUAUAAUUAGCAUAAUAUAUUUAUGAAUGAAAUUAGAAAUCGGUUAAAUUCAUUCAUUUAUGUAUAUUACAAAAAGGGAAACUAUUAAAAACAAAAAAAUACUAAACAAAUCAAUAAAUAGUUAGUCACAUAUAUCAAGUCCAUUUAUCAUAUAUCAAUAUGGUACUAACAUAAAUAAACACUUGUAAUAAAUUCUGUUUCAAAUACAACAAAAUGCGCAAUUAAUCAAAUAUCAUUCAACAUCCUGUAUACAUACAUUAUAGUAGUUUAUGAUUUCGGUAUAAAAGAUAACAUUCAUCCUGUGCACAGCACGGGUACUAUCCUAGUAUAGAUAUAUAUGUAUACAUAUACAUAUCCAUAUAGUAGCGUACACGUAAACACAUAAUAUAUGGAUAGAUAUAUGCAUAUCCACGUACAUAGAGUAUAAAUGGAUAUAAUUAUAUGGAUACACUUAUAUAUAUAUAUCUAUAUAUAUUAUAGAUGAAUGUAACUAUAUAAAUAUAUGGGCAUAUUUACAUAUGUAUCCGUAUAGUUGCAUAUAUAUAGAUGGGUCCCAUGCGAUUUAAUGUGUGAAAACUGAUAAAUCAAGAUGAUCUUAUACGAUUUAGUGUGUAGAAGCUGAUGAGUGGAUUUAAAUGGGUUUUUUGGUAAGGUAAAUGAAAAAGAAAGGUUAAAAAAUCUAAAAAUGAGAGCAAAAUACGAUAAGUCCACCUGAUUUAGAAAAUAUAUUUUUUGGCAAUUACAUUUUCAAAAAAUACACCUAGUGGUAAUAUUCUCUUAUAAUAUUCAACCCAUAUAAUAUUUCUCAUAUAAUAUUUCUAAUUAAACGACAGAAAACAUGUCAUAAGUCACAACUCGAACGUAUGUUUAUAAUCAUCCGUCCCUUUCAACUUUAAUUCACAUAUUAUUUCUACAUUGUUUAGUGAAGCUCAUGUGUAUCUACGAUAGCCUAAUCUCAUCCGCUUUAAGAAAAUUCAAGUGUUUUGGGCUCCUCUAAAACUGCCAAUCGAAACCACAGACUGAAAAACAAGAAUCACAAUAUAUUGUAAUAGACUAAUAAAACAAGCAAUAAAAUACUAAGACAAACAUCAUCAUUCAACCUUCAAAACAAAGACAUAAAGCUUUAUAAGACAAGGCAACAACUAUCUUUGGGAAAGGUUCAACAACUUAAAUAUAAAUAAGUAAAACAAACAUUCUCAAUUCAUAAUAUCAAAACUAGAAAGACGACCAAAGGAAAAUCCAUCGAUGCCAUCAUGUGU
rnacentral:lncRNA from 1 species